UACGUAGGGUGCGAGCGUUAAUCGGAAUUACUGGGCGUAAAGCGUGCGCAGGCGGUUUGGUAAGACAGAUGUGAAAUCCCCGGGCUUAACCUGGGAAUUGCAUUUGUGACUGCCCGGCUAGAGUGUGUCAGAGGGGGGUAGAAUUCCACGUGUAGCAGUGGAAUGCGUAGAUAUGUGGAGGAAUACCGAUGGCGAAGGCAGCCCCCUGGGAUAACACUGACGCUCAUGCACGAAAGCGUGGGGAGCAAACAGG
rnacentral:rRNA from 1 species